AACUUUUUGAGAGACAGUAAAACAUCCAGCUGGCAAGCCUAGGUUACUUUAAACUAUGAAGAUGAUUCUUCAUUUAUUCCAUACAUGUGUUUUUCUGCUGCUACUACAUGCCAGGCACGGAGGCUCCAAGAUUUCAACUGUGUAAAGGCAGAAAUGAUACACUCUCGUGGGAAAGGAAGACAGAGCAAUCAGAGCAUCACUGGCAUUAUCCAAGACAUGUCAGAAAUGUUGGAUCCGGGGCCCACCUCAGACAUACUGACUCAGAAUCUGCCUUUUAACAAGAGCCCCAGGUAUCAUCUGGCUUUUCUCCUAAAAGAGAAUUUUACCAACUCCUUUAAGGAAUAAAAAUGACAAUAAAAAACAUUAUGGCAUAUUUCAGAGUCUGUUUGUGUGAACAGGACGUUUUUGAUGCCUUUGCCAUCUGCAGCUUACUGCUAUGAAUGUGGUGACUUACACUCUGAAAAUUAACAGAGAACAUCUGUGAUCCGUUUCUAGGCUGAAAGCCUCACCUGAUAAAAGAAGCAGAGGGACAGGCAUAGUGAAACUGCGUCUCGUUUCUGAGGCCCUCCUUGGGCAGAACUGUGCGGGUGACAAGGCUGGGUAUCAAAGUUGCUGCCUCCUGACUGUCUGUCCUCGAACUCUGGUGUGCUGCUUCUGUUUCUGGUGUUAUUGGAAUCUCUCCCUUAUCUACCUUUUCCUAAACUCUGCACAAUGCACAUUUAUUGUUCCCAC